GACGGAGGGUGCAAGCGUUGUUCGGAUUGACUGGGCGUAAAGGGCGUGUAGGCGGUUGGUCAAGUCUGGUGUGAAAGCCCGGGGCUUAACCCCGGAAGUGCAUUGGAAACUAGCCAGCUAGAGCGCGAGAGAGGAGGGUGGAAUUCCGUGGUGGUAGCGGUGAAAUGCGUAGAUAUCAGGAGGAACACCGGCGGCGAAGGCGGCCCUCUGGCUCGUUGCUGACGCUGAAACGCGAAAGCGUGGGGAGCAAACAGG
rnacentral:rRNA from 1 species